rnacentral:tRNA from 1 species
CAGAAAAUAGUUUAUAAAAAAUUUUAAUUUUGGAGAUUAAAGAAAAGUAGCUUUAUUUUUUUCUGA